rnacentral:rRNA from 1 species
AUGGAACAUUUUGGGAUAAUGUACCCUGGUUUUUCUCGGAAAACCCUAUGUGUACAAAAAAGUUCUUUGUUAGUAAGGAAUCAAAUGCCGGAGAAUUCAUUUCUAAUAGAUACUCGAAUGAAAAAAUUCGAUACCAUAGUCCCCGCUACUCUCUUCAUAGGAUACUUAUCAAAAGCUCAAUUUUGUACUGGAUCAGGGCAUCCUAUUAGUAAACCCAUUUGGACAGAUUUAUCAGAUUGGGAUAUUCUUGAUCGAUUUGGUCGGAUAUGUAGAAAUCUUUUUCAUUAUCAUAGUGGAUCUUCAAAAAAAACGGACUUUGUACCGACUAAAGUAUAUACUUCGACUUUCAUGUGCUAG